UGUACUUCAAACUCUCCUGGUUCCCACCUCCCACAUAGUUCUUUUGCAUCUUCAGUGCCUUCCCCACCCUCCCGCACAACAGCAUUUUAACAUAGGGAGUGCUUGUAGAGUUCAUCUCUGCUCUACUACUCCAUUUAUAAAAUUCUCUUAUAUUUUCCUCGAGCUUCUUUCCCUCCUGCCCAACCUUCCUUCAUACUCCUUGAAGAAACCUAGAUCCUAUAGGAAAAAAACAGUGACAGCAAAUAAAAGGAUGCCAACUUUCUGACGUGUGCGUGGGAAUGAGUGGAUCUGGAGCCUGGAACAGCUUUGAGCGUAUGCACAGCACAGGCUGGGGCUUGGAGACCCUCCACUGACUCGCUGCCUGCCUGCUUCUGCAAGAAAAGCUGUCCCACUGACCUGCUACCAGCUAAGGAAACAUCCCACAAUUAUUAGAAGUCAUAUUUAUUCCAAACCCAUUAAUUCAGACUUCAUUUCACAGAUUUUAACUGCCACAAAC